rnacentral:rRNA from 1 species
GGGUAACGGAGCUGAGGGAACUCUGGGUCACCUCCCACCCGUGUCUAUCGUACCUUGUUGCUUCGGCGGGCCCGCCGUUUCGACGGCCGCCGGGGAGGCCUUGCGCCCCCGGGCCCGCGCCCGCCGAAGACCCCAACAUGAACGCUGUUCUGAAAGUAUGCAGUCUGAGUUGAUUAUCGUAAUCAGUUAAAACUUUCAACAACGGAUCUCUUGGUUCCGGCAUCGAUGAAGAACGCAGCGAAAUGCGAUAAGUAAUGUGAAUUGCAGAAUUCAGUGAAUCAUCGAGUCUUUGAACGCACAUUGCGCCCCCUGGUAUUCCGGGGGGCAUGCCUGUCCGAGCGUCAUUGCUGCCCUCAAGCACGGCUUGUGUGUUGGGCCCCCGUCCCCCUCUCCCGGGGGACGGGCCCGAAAGGCAGCGGCGGCACCGCGUCCGGUCCUCGAGCGUAUGGGGCUUUGUCACCUGCUCUGUAGGCCCGGCCGGCGCCAGCCGACACCCAACUUUAUUUUUCUAAGGUUGACCUCGGAUCAGGUAGGGAUACCCGCUGAACUUAAGCAUAUCAAUAAGGCGGGAGGAA